CCCUUCAUACUCCCUCCGUCCGGUUUAGCGUUGUUAUGGCUGUUACGCUAAACGUCCUCUAGAGGGCAGUGACUGUCCUGUCGCAAAUUAACGGCAUCCACAAUCGCAAACAUGGCAUCUGUACAGGAGAUGGCUUUGCUUUGUGUCAUCCGAAAUCGGGAAAAAUUGCACAAAAAGUGAAGGCAUGCGACACCCCCACCAACCCGCAGAUUAAAAAAAAUCCAUUUUUGAAUGUCCAGUCAUUGCCAAAGCAGGUGAACAACAAAAAGGUCAGGUAUAUAGUAUAAUAUACACAUAAAACAUAAUUAAUACAAAUUAAACACAAAAUAUAUAUACAUAACAGAUAUUAUACUACUCUCUCUAUAUUUUUGCGAAUGGUUGGUCUUCUGACUCUUUACGGCCUCCUCGACUCCCGUUGGUAUCGCUCCUCGUAAGCCCAGAGAAGACGGACCCACUGACACAACGACCCCCGGACCGGACGGACGGGUCCCAAGGGUCUGCUCCCUAAGGGUCUGCUGCCCUGAGGGUCUGCUCCCUAAGGGUCUGCUGCCCUGAGGGUCUGCUCCCUGAGGGUCUGCUCCCUGAGGGUCUGCUGCCCUGAGGGUCUGCUCCCUGAGGGUCUGCUCCCUGAGGGUCUGCUGCCCUGAGGGUCUGCUGCCCUGAGGGUCUGCUCCCUGAGGGUCUGCUCACCUGAGGGUCCAUGAGGGACAGUGAGACCCUCCAUCUCUGGGAGGGAGUCAUGGUUCUAAACAGGAGGCCGCUGUUCAACCUGAAGAACCAGAGUGAAGGAGUUUCACCUCCGGCUCCGGAGUUUAGACUCACGACCUGAC